GAUGAACGCUGGCGGCGUGCCUAAUACAUGCAAGUCGAGCGAACAGACGAGGAGCUUGCUCCUCUGACGUUAGCGGUGUACGGGUGAGUAACACGUGGAUAACCUACCUAUAAGACUGGGAUAACUUCGGGAAACCGGAGCUAAUACCGGAUAAUAUAUUGAACCGCAUGGUUCAAUAGUGAAAGACGGUUUUGCUGUCACUUAUAGAUGGAUCCGCGCCGCAUUAGCUAGUUGGUAAGGUAACGGCUUACCAAGGCAACGAUGCGUAGCCGACCUGAGAGGGUGAUCGGCCACACGGGAACUGAGACACGGUCCAGACUCCUAAGGGAGGCAGCAGUAGGGAAUCUUCCGCAAUGGGCGAAAGCCUGACGGAGCAACGCCGCGUGAGUGAUGAAGGUCUUCGGAUCGUAAAACUCUGUUAUUAGGGAAGAACAAAUGUGUAAGUAACUAUGCACGUCUUGACGGUACCUAAUCAGAAAGCCACGGCUAACUACGUG
rnacentral:rRNA from 1 species